rnacentral:rRNA from 1 species
CCUACGGGAGGCAGCAGUGAGGAAUAUUGGUCAAUGGGCGUAAGCCUGAACCAGCCAAGUCGCGUGAGGGAUGAAGGUUCUAUGGAUCGUAAACCUCUUUUAUAAGGGAAUAAAGGGCGGGACGUGUCCCGUUUUGUAUGUACCUUAUGAAUAAGGAUCGGCGAACUCCGUGCCAGCAGCCGCGGUAAUACGGAGGAUCCGAGCGUUAUUCGGAUUUAUUGGGUUUAAAGGGUGCGUAGGCGGGCUUUAAAGUCAGAGGUGAAAGUCUGUGGCUCAACCAUAGAAUUGCCGUUGAAACUGGGAGUCUUGAGUAUGUGUGAGGCAGGCGGAAUGCGUGGUGUAGCGGUGAAAUGCAUAGAUAUCACGCAGAACUCCGAUUGCGAAGGCAGCAUACCGGCGCCCAACUGACGCUGAAGCACGAAAGCGUGGGUAUCGAACAGGAUUAGAUACCCCAGUAGUC